UGGGAGAAUAAUAAAAAGAAUAACUUCACUCCUUUACAUAUUGAAAUAUUUUUUUUCUAUUUAUUUUACAUUUAAGUUUUUUGUGAGUUUUCACAAUCAACCGGAGCUGGCCUCCUGUGAUGCACCUACACAAUGUCUGUGUUCCCCUAAACUUUCCCUGCAUGGGAGCUGCGCUAAGUUUCCAAAUAACCAGUCAAUGCGUGCCCUGCGUUGCAUCAGUACUUCUCCACCUCCACUGAUUAUUUUUUCAACACCUCCAUUUUUUCAUCUUUCAGCUCAAGAACUCAUGUGCUAUUCAGAGUAUGAUGUAAUAUGCGAUGUGAGAUUUGGCACUGAAAUCACCCCUGUAUGCUGUCGAUAGCCCUGUUAAGUGAGCAUGUCAAUACUAACGCGUGAAGGUCACAAGCAAAAAAGGGGUAAACCUCAAUCAUCAAUUUAAAAAAAAAAAAAAAGAGAGAGAAAAACGAACUAAAUCUCCCCUGUCAAAUAGUGUUAUCAACAGACACACAUUUCUAUAAAUUAAAGUAAGUCUAUGAAGGCUUUUCAACCUUAUCUGUGCAAACUCAACCUAUAAGCGCUUAAGCAAUGCUUCAUUCAGCUGACAGUUAAUCACAAACUUACUAAAGAAAAGCUUAGAUAAAGUUGUGUUUACUGAAUGUACCCAGGAGAAUAAAACUUUGAGCUCUAAAAUGUAAUUGCUGCCUUGCAGACUGAAAAAAAGCUCUGGAACAGAAAUGUAAAAUCUGUCAUGAUGGAAUUUCUAACUGACUGUUAGAAGCGAUGCAGCAGUUUGACAGCUCGAAUCAGUUGGUUGACAGACUGAUUUUUUUAUUAUUCAAAAAUCUGCGAUGAUCUGAGCAGAAGUUUAAUACAUUUUGUCUAAUGGCAGAAGAAGCAACUUGUGUUCUGGGGGCCUCUGGAUGUCUGGAGUUUUGAUCUCCUCCACACCUGCUUCACGCCCUGGAGGACGGGGCUGUGGCCCCCCCACACCCUCUAGCAGAUUAUUACAUGAAGGAACCUUUUAAAAAAACAAAAAACAAGCGCGUCCAUGCUCACAGGUGUACACACGGGUGAUCACACCCACAAACUACACCCUUUUUGGCUCCUACCUCAAAGCACACUGUGUUCUGUUGAUCUUAUGUGCUGCACAAUAAUGUUUAACAUUUAGUAUUUACUGUCAUAUUCCCAUAUAUCAUUGUGAUGCUGUUUAUUCUAUUACUCUUGUUCUCUUCUGCUUGCUUUCUUUUUUCUUUCUCAGCAGGUGAUCCAGGUGAUCGAUAUAUGCAUUUUUUUUUUCUCUGCCCGUUCUGUUGGUUUUUGUUUUUUGCCCUUCUCCCCCGUCCCUCUUCUCAGUUGUUUCUCUUUCCCUCUUUCUUUCUCCCCUUCUUUCCCCCAGUCAAGUCUGUCCCGUAUUCAGUAAGUGAAAAUAAAAUAAACAAUAAAAGGUGAAUCAAAUGGACCAUUAUGGCAAGGCUGGGAUGGUCAGUUUGGUAAAGUAAAUCUGUUGGGCAUCUUUCUUUGCCUUUAGACAACAAUUCUGAUGGCAAAAGAGCCAAACGGGACAGGCCAAAAAAAAAAAAAAAAAAAAAAAAAAGAGCAGACAUGGUCACAUAAACUUAAUGACUAUGUAAAUAUUCAAAAACAACCAUUCCUCUUAAAUUAGGAAGUAAUUCUUUCUUCUUUUUUUUUUAUUUCUUCUUUUUAUGAAUAUAGCAUAUUACAGUGUUGGGGGGGGGG
ensembl:lncRNA